CAAAAUUUUAUGUACAUAAUGGCAAGAUGUUACAACAUCAUCGAUAAUACAUGCACAGAUUAGCUAAAUUCCAUGGCCUAGGAAGUAGAGUCCCGUCGAGCUACUUUAGCUGAUAUGUCCCAAGACGUACUACCUCAUCUACUUGAUAAGAGCCUUCCUAGUUGAGUGACAAUUUUUCUUGCUCGGUGGGCUGUGAAACUUUGACUUGUCCUAACACCAGGUCGCCAACUCAAAACUCCUUGAUCUUGACUCAAGCAUUGUAGUAUCUGGCCAUCCUCUGAUGAUAGGCAUGUUGAAAUUUUAUGGUUUCAUGCAUGCAAAAAUUUUUAAAAUGAGUAUGCAGUAGAUUAAAAAUUUAAAUUAAAUCUAAUUUAAUCUAAGCAUGCAUAAGAUCAAAUCUUAAAAUCAUAAGCAGAAUCUACGUAUAUGAGAUAAGAUUUAGAUAUAAAAAUUAAAUAAAAAUAAAUAAAUAAACUUUAUAUCUUGAUGUGAGUCGAUCUACAUCACGAAUUGAUGAUCGUGGAUGUCUUCCGAAGGUCUCUUAAAGCUGCACAAGUGUCAGACCUCUAUGGGUAUCCAUACGAGACUUCGAUCUAAUCAGAAAUUUCUUGAUCUUACCGGAGUGCUAGCUUCCUUGCAGAGAUUGCAUCUUGAUGGUUGAAAAAUCUUCUUUUCUCUCAAAACACUCUUAGAGAAGAAGAAGAAAAUAGGAGGAUGAUGAUCUCUACACUAGAGAUCAUGAGAAGAACUCUUUCUUCUCUUUUCUUCCAAAAACUCAUGCACCAAAUCUCUAUGCUAGAGAUGUAGAUAUUUUUAUCCAACUUUUGGAUAAAGAGAAGAGAAAAAAUUUAUAUCCAAACUAGGGCAAAAGAGAGAGAUAUGGUCCUAACAACCAACCUUUGGUUGUUGGUAAGAGAGAAGGGAUAGAAGCCAAUAUACCUCACCCCAUGAUGAUGCCGUGCCCUCUCUUUCUCUUUCUCUAUUUUUCUCAUGCACACCUCCUGAUUUUUGGCAUCUCAAAACUGAU
rnacentral:lncRNA from 1 species